GGGGCGGGGGGGUGGGGGAGGGGAGGGGGGGGUUGGCUCGACACGCUUGGCUACCUGCCCUGGUCCCAUUGACCAGACAGCUGAACUAGCGAGAGCAGGAGGAGGGGGAGGAAGGGAGGCGCAGGAAAUGGACAGACUUUUCAGAUACACGAGAGAAUAAUAAUCUGCACCUUCAAACGAGGCACCAACGUUUAUCCGAGAUCCCGGAAAAAGAGUCCAGGGUUCUGACGCUAGCGUGCUUGCUAGUACGCUUGCUAGUACGCUUGCUAGUAUACAUGAGUCAAUGGUUGAGAGGAAAAUCACCGAACCGCUUGUGUGGUGUCACAUGACCUGGCAGCGAACGUUGUUGGGCAGGUUACGAACAAUGUGUAGCGAUAUCUGACUUCCGUUAAUAUUUCUGGAAAACAGACAUCAGCCGAUCAUUUUUUUUUUCGUUGUUAGCUCAGAGAAUCGUGGAGAAUCGUCUCCGUACUCACACGCCGUGUUGCCGCUGUCACCGCAACUGUUGCCGCGUCCGCAUGUUCCCGCCUCUGCUGGGCUCCUGGCAGGCGGCCUGAGCGUGGCCACGCCCACAACCAGAUGGUCCCAACCAAUCAGGCGUAGACCAGGGGAGACUUGUGACAGAUGGCGACCCCCCCCCCCCCACAACAGGUGGCGGCGAGCUGAUUUUCACCCUGGAUGAAAAUGAAACGUAUUAUCCAGCCAUUAAUUGAUUGCGGAGCUGCUUUGAAAUGUGGAUCUCCCUGAGAAUCGGGAAUUAGAGCCGACUCUGAGGGCCAAUUAGGUGAGUCUCUGACGCAUCUCAAUCAAUCCCCACCAUCCGCAGGUGAAAUGCCAGACCAGACACACCGCCUGCCACCCUGAAUGCUAACAGCGGUAAUGCUAAUCAUGUCUGAUCCGCAACGUGCAGGAGGUACAGAGGCUAACGCAGCAUCGGUCCCUGCUUCUCCCCUUUAUCAGUCCAUCUGAAUACCAGUGAAGAAGAUAAACUGUGGGAGGAGCUAAUCUUACUCCCUUUUUAAUCACAUGUUUUAUUUGUUAUUUAAAGCUAAUGUUAUUUUAUGCUAAUUGCCCCCUCAGAAAACAAGAUUUCAACUCUAUAUUUACCUUUGGCAAAUAUUUAAAUUGUGAGCUACUAAAAUUACUCAAAUGAUUUAAAACCAUAAUCAUAUUUUCCAGUCAGAUUAAUGUAUAUUUUAAAUAUGUGAAAUUUAAAUAAAAUCAUAAAUCAGAAAAUCUGAAUUUUAAGUUUUAUUCUGAUACUCCUUCCACAGAAAAUCACAAAUAAUAAAUUAACUGUUUAUACAUUAAAAUAAUGUCAAAUUCUAAUAUAUAAGACUUCCAAAUUUUAAUAGGUCAAACAAUAAUUUUACCAAAACUGUGUCGCUUUUAAUAAAAAAAAUCCAAUUUUGUCAGAAAACAAUCUAUUUCAUAAGGAAACAAAUAUUUUCAAAAGCAUUUUUGUUUUUGUUGUCGUCUAUCGGUCGUGGGUCCGAUUUUUGAUGGGAAAGAGCAGAUUUUGUGUUAAUUAUGACGCUUGCCUGUCAGAUUUUAGCAGUCUGACCUCCGCCAGCGUCCGUGUGACCCCGCGUGUUUGCCACUCUGUAAACUCUGUUGUAAUCCCGCCUCCAGCCAGCGUGAGUCCUAAUUGAAAUAAUCCCUGCCGGCGAGCGCAGACCCACCGCCCGGGCCAGUUGUCCUGAUGGGUCCAGUUUAACCCACCGUGUGACUCUGACCUUUCCUCGCCACUCGCUGGGACCAUCUGAACCCAUCCCGGCCGGGACAUCUGCUGUGACGUGGGGGAGGAGCUUUGAUCCGCUCGGCUGCUCCCAGAGGCCUCUGACAGGCGUUCCGGCUUCACCGUACAUGUGCCGCUGCAGCCGGAACGGCAGCUGAUUUUCCGUCGAAAACACGUUAAAGCUGGAAACUGCAAAUUUGAAACCAAAUGUGGGCCCAUCUGUCGGAAAACAACAAUAACAGAUUAAUAAAAGAGAGCCGGACGCAUGUUUUCGUCCAGAACUGUUGUCAUGGAGGGCGAGCGCAGACAGAAAAGGUUUUAGAGUGAGAACAGCUUUCACACAUUUAAGACAUUUACUGGGAAUUUUAGUUUAUUUCUCCGAAAUUCAACAAAUAUGCUACAAAUAAGAAGAAACACCGACAAAACCCUCAAUUUAUUUUUAUUUUUUUUAUUAUUUUUUUUUUAAACUUUACAGCAUUUCAUCAGGCAAAUAUCAGGAUGUUUUUCCAGGUGUUUAGCAGGAUAGCAUGAUGCUACAUACCAAAAGCUAAAGAGCUCAUUUCUAGAAAACUCAAAUAUUUCUGCCAAAAUUCUAGUUUCAGUGAAUAGAAUUUCACUACCUGAUUGAAUCCUUUUCCAAUGUUAACAGUUACCCACACGGGCAAAAAGGAAUAUCAAGAAACUAGAAGAGAGGAUCUGUGACCCUCCAGAAAACACGUGGUCAGUUUGACGGUUCGCUGAUAAACAGACACGUUUUCUGCCUUAAACAAU
rnacentral:lncRNA from 1 species